CCGGCAUCACUGCGGCAGCUCCACCGGAGCCUUUCCAGCAGCGGACUGUCCGACGGCGUGACUGCGGUAGGUACACCGGACUCGCGGGGGGUGGCGAAAUGGCCGUCCGCCUAGGGCGUCAGAAACCCUGGCGCCGCUCCUGACUGUACCAGCUGCUG